UACAUGGGGUGCAAACGUUGCUCGGAAUCAUUGGGCGUAAAGCGCGUGAAGGCGGUUACUUAAGUCGGAUGUGAAAGCCCUCGGCUUAACUGAGGAAGUGCAUCCGAAACUGGGUAGCUAGAGUACGAAAGAGGGUCGCGGAAUUCCCGGUGUAGAGGUGAAAUUCGUAGAUAUCGGGAGGAACACCGGUGGCGAAGGCGGCGACCUGGGUCGAGACUGACGCUAAUAUGCGAAAGCGUGGGGAGCAAACAGG
rnacentral:rRNA from 1 species